rnacentral:rRNA from 1 species
UACGUAGGGGGCAAGCGUUAUCCGGAUUUACUGGGUGUAAAGGGAGCGUAGACGGCAGCGCAAGUCUGGGGUGAAAUGCCGGGGCCCAACCCCGGAACUGCUUUGGAAACUGUGCGGCUCGAGUGCGGGAGAGGUAGGCGGAAUUCCUAGUGUAGCGGUGAAAUGCGUAGAUAUUAGGAGGAACACCAGUGGCGAAGGCGGCUUACUGGACCGUAACUGACGUUGAGGCUCGAAAGCGUGGGGAGCAAACAGG